rnacentral:rRNA from 1 species
UACGUAGGGGGCAAGCGUUGUCCGGAAUUAUUGGGCGUAAAGAGCGUGUAGGCGGUCCGGUAAGUCAGCUGUGAAAGUCAAGGGCUCAACCCUUGAAUGCCGGUUGAUACUGUCGGGCUAGAGUCCGGAAGAGGCGAGUGGAAUUCCCGGUGUAGCGGUGAAAUGCGCAGAUAUCGGGAGGAACACCAAUGGCGAAGGCAGCUCGCCUGGGACGGUACUGACGCUGAGACGCG